rnacentral:misc_RNA from 1 species
GGGACUAUAUAAACUGUCUUCUGCUCUUUAGCAUUUCAGUUGUGCUGCUUUAGAAGAUCUGGUGUACAUGCCACUGAAGCUACCAGAUACUCAGGCACCCGCUUCCUUCUUUGCAAAGCACUUAAGUGAUGUGGGCAUCAUUUUCCUGCUUCGCUUGCAUGGAUUGCUUUUGACUUUCUACUCGCUGAAGCUGUGAUGACAGCUGAAGCAGGUCAAUGGUGGUGCCAUCUU